rnacentral:lncRNA from 1 species
AAAGCUUUGGUGCCAAGGUAGGGGGUUUCUUGGGGCCUUUACGGGGAUUGAUUUAAUUAAAUUUCGUGAGCACUAUAUUAUGCAUGAUAUUAUAAUUUGAUGGAUGUUCUUGAUAUAGGGUGUUUAUGUGUUGUUAAUUAUUUAAUAAAUGUUGGCAUGAUUAUAUGUAUAUUGGUGAUAUCUAAAUGAUAUACAUUGUUUUUAUGAGAUAUGCAAAAAGAAGAACUAUAUCAUGUCAUGGAAAUUAGUUGGAGUUCUUGGGUUGAAAAAAUAAUGGUGGAAAAUAGGGUAAUGGAAAUAGUAUUUUGUGUAGUUGAAUCUAACUCUUGGCAGGGACAGGUCCUAGGGAUCCCACAGUGCACAUGGUUUUUAUUGGGUGAUUCGGGAUUGGUGACAGAGACUUAGACAAGAUGACUAACAGAAGGGGAAUUAUAGGAUGAUUGAGAUGGGUGUUAGUUCAUAUAAAUGGGCAUUCAAGACCAAGUGGUUUAAGCAUGGUAUGGGACGUGCAAGUCUACUUAUCCAGUUAUAUGAAUUAACGGGAGUAGAUGAAGAGUAUUCAUGCAUUAUUAUUAUUAAUGUGAUAUUUGGCAGUGUGAUUGUGUGUUACUUAAUUUAGUUAUAUCAAUCUACUGUGGUAAGGUCUUAUGUCCCUACUGAGCGGUGGUUGCUCACCCCUCACCCUGUUUAAUUUUUCAGAUGAAUUAGUGAGAAAGACAAGGACUAAACUAGUUGAGGUUGAAUUAGAUGAGAGUGAUAGAGCUUUAUUUAUUAAUUGUAAAGUUUUAAGAUUUUAGAGCUAUUUUUAUAAGAGAAAUUUAUUUUAAACCCUUUUUUUAAUAUUACUUUUUAUUUUCUCACGCACCGGGCGCCGGAUCUCCACCUAUCCCAAGGUCCGGGGCGUGUUAGUUUCUCAAUUUUGUAAAACCAAUAACACUUCCAUUGAAUUCUUUCCUUUUUUUGUUGUUGUGAAGGAUCUCAUCACUGGGGCACAGUUUCUUCGGGGGGCGAAUAUGAAUGACAUUUACGAGUGGCCACAACACAUGGGUUCUACCCGUCGACGCCCUUGUGCCUUGGUUGGAGUUGCCGCAUCUCAUGCUACAUGGCACCAUCAACUAGGACAUCCCUCCUCCAAAAUUCUCCACCAUGUCAUUCAAUCUCAAUCUCUGUCUACUUCCUCUACAUUCUCCAAAGACUUUGUUUGUGAUUCCUGUUCUUAUAAUAAGAGCCAUAAACUACCAUUUGAUGUUUCCACUCUUAAGAGUCAUAAACCUUUAGAUUUGGUCUACUCAGAUGUUUGGGGUCCUGCCCCUAUUUCCUCUUAUGAUGGAUUUCGAUAUUAUGUUAUCUUUGUUGAUCACUUCACUAAAUAUAUCUGGCUAUAUCCUUUAAAACAAAAAUAAGAUGUUUUCUUUGUGUUUACCAAGUUCAAAUCUAUUGUUGAAAAACACUUUAAUACACCCAUUACCACGCUUUACUCUGAUGGUUGUGGGGAAUUCAUUCGCCUUCGAUCAUUCCUUGAGUCUUAUGGUAUUCAACACCUCAUAACUCCUCCACACACACCACAACACAAUGGGUCCGCUAAACUCCGUCACCGUCAUGUUGGAGAAACUGGUCUCACACUCCUCCAUAAAGCAUCAUUACCAUUAUAUUUUUAGAGCUUUGCUUUCCAAACCGCUAGUUAUCUCAUUAACCGUAUGCCCAUUCCUAUUUUACAAGUUAAAUCUCCGUUUGAGUCCUUGUUUAAAUCUCCUCCCACUUUGAAUUUUUGGGUGUCUCUGUUAUCCAUGGUUACGUCCCUAUUCUGCUCAUAAACUCGAGCCUCGAUCUCGACCUUGUGUAUAUCUUUGUUGGCUACUCCACCUCUCAGAGUGCCUAUAAAUAUUUUGACCCUUCCACCUCACGAGUCUUUAUCUCUCGUCAUGUUCAAUUUAUUGAGCAUAUUUUUCCUCCCUUGGCACUGGAUUCCUCUUCCUCUUCUCGUGUCUCUUCACUCACACCAUCCUUAGUUUCUACAUGGUCCAACUUUGCCCCUUCCCAUGCAGCCACUACUCUUCAUUUUUCUGUAUCUCCAUCCUCCCAUGGUUCCCCAACUAAUGUGCAUGGUGCUAAUACCUCCAACCAAGGUGCCACUCCCACAAGCAGAUCCUCACCUAGUGUUUCUGGCCACUCACUGGAUGUUCCUCAUUCUCCCCCACAUGCUACUACAUGUGCUCCCUCCCCUCCUAUCAGAGUGCCCUCACCGACUGUUGUCUCCUCAUCCCUACCCCCACCACCUCCUCCUCCCAAACCCCGCACACGACUCAACCCAUGACACAUGCUCCAAAAAUAACAUCUUCAAACCCAAACAAAUCCACCACACUACAACCCAUCUCCUUCCCUCCCCCAUCAAGCCCACAUGUGUGUCUCAAGCCUUUCGUGACCACAAUUGGUGUACAACAAUUUUUGAUGAAAUCAAUGCCUUUCUUUGUAAUGGGACUUGGGAGUUGGUCCCUGCUGAGCCCAAUCAAAACAUUGUGGGGUACAAAUGGGUCUUUCAAAUCAAAUGCAAUCCUGAUGGAACCCUUGCCGGCUAUAAAGCCAGCCUUGUUGCCAAACCAUUUGCCUUAUUCUAUCAAUUGCCCUUAGCCAUGGAUGGUUUGUUCGUUUUACCGAGGAAGUCUUCAUGACUCAACCUCCUGGCUUCAUUGAUCAUUCACAGCCUUCUCAUGUUUGUCGCCUUCACAAGGUCAUUUAUAGCCUCAAACAAGCACCUUGUGCUUGGUACACGGAGCUUAAACAAUUUCUUAUUUCUUUUGGCUUCCACAAUUCCAAGUCUAAUGCCUCAUUGUUUAUUUACAAUACUACUGAUGUCACCAUUUAUUUUCUUGUGUAUGUAAAGGAUCUUCUUGUGACAGGUAACUAUCCAUCAUUCAUUGCCCACUUUAUUCGUGCAUUGUCCACCAAAAUUCUUAGUCAAAGACAUGGGUGCACUUCAUUAUUUUCUUGGUGUGGAGGUACUUUCGACCAACACAAGCCUGUUUCUCACUCAACAUAAGUACAUUCACGAUCUUCUUGACCGAACCAACAUGUCUGGACCAAAAGAAACUCACACUCCCAUGGGCACGUCUCAGUCUCUCUGUCUUGCUGAUGGUUCUCCUUCAACUGAUGUCUCCUUUACAGUUAACAAAUUGGCUUAGUUCAUGCACUACCCCUCUGAAACACACUGGGCUGUCGCCAAAUGUGUCCUCCGCUAUCUCAAAAAUUGUUGAGAAUUAAGCUGCAUACUCAGCUUAAAUCAACCUGCAGAUGACAAUCCUGCAUAUUGGAAUUGAAGAGAUGAAGAAUUAGUUUUUUUUUUAAAUAGCCGUUAGUUUAAAUAUGUAACAGCUUUAUUUCUGUUUUUAGAAACCAGCACUACUGUUAUUUUUGUCCUAUUUGGUUUGUACUAGGUCAUCCGAUCUUUCUCCAAGUGGAAAGAUCGUAGCCUCCUAUGGUCUGAAUGGCUGGAGAUAAGUCCUUGCUCCCUAAAAACUAGGGUCUGUUUUUUGACUGAGAUAGGAAUAGAGUCAUGUAAUACCUCUGCGUUUUGAUAUAGAGAAAUAUACUGAAACCUUCAAAUCCUCUGUUUUUUCCUAUCCUUCUUUCUCUGAGGUGUAUUUCUCCUAAAGGUUUCAGCUGCUGUUUUCAACCUAAAGUAUUAAGCUUGAUACUAAAUCAACAUGAUAUCAAAGCUCCUGGUUUGAUUCCAGAGAGGGGCCUGAGCUGUGAGAGAGAAAGCCUUCCUGAAAAAUUCCCAAAAGGGAUAAAGGUUGCUCUUUUACUAUUUGGUUCACUGAGACUCACUAGGAAAAUGGUAUGAUCAGGUUCUUCAGGUGGAGAUUUACGAACUCCACAGUUUGAUGGUGCAAACUAUGAUUUUUGGGCUGUCAAAAUGGAGACCAUCCUCAUAGCACAUGAUCUAUGGGAUGUAGUUGAGGUCGGAGUACAACCUCAGCCAGUUCUUGAGGAGGAAGAAGGCUCUGGAGGUGAAGGAAGUAAGGCUGAGCAAGUUCCAGUGGAAGCACCCACCAUCUCCAGAGAAGACAGAAUCAAAAACGCCAAGGCACUAAGUCUCAUUCAAGGAGCUUUAACUGAUGAGCUCUUCCCUCGCAUCAGAAAUGAAAAGACUGCAAAAGGAGCUUGGGAUACUCUGAGAAGAGAGUACAGAGGAGAUAAAAAAGUAAGAGCAGUAAAACUUCAAGCAGUUAGAGCAGAUUUUGAGUAUAUGAGAAUGACAGAUGGUGAAAGCCUAGAUAGCUAUUUGUCUAAGUUUUUUGGAACUGUGAAUAAUUUGAAAUCACUUGGUGAAGAUGUGUCUGAAACAAGAAUUGUGCAAAAACUCUUGAUGAGCCUAGGUAGAAAAUAUAAGUCCAUUGUGUCUAUCAUUGAAGAAACUCGAGAUCUUGAUGUUCUUAGAGUUGAAGAAGUUAUUACAUCUGUCAAGGUCUAUGAUAAAAGGGAAGACUUGCAUGAUGAAAGGGAUAAAUUGACAGGAACUGAGAAAGCUUUCAGUAGCCUAAAGGUUGGAAAUAACCAAGUUCAUGGCACUCAUAAGGGCUCACAAAGUAGACCAAAUCAAAAGUGGCAAGGACAAGACAAAAAGGGAUCAAAUUGGUCUCAAAAUGGAAGCUUGAACAACAAUAAUGGCUCAAGCUAGAAUAAUAGUGCUGGAGGAAAUUGGAACAAUAGCUUCAAUUCACAGAACAAGCAAGGUAGUACAGUCAAGGAAGAGUGAAACCACAGUGCCAAGUAUGUCAGAAGUAUCAUUUUGGCGUGUGCAGGCACAAAGGCAAACCUAGAUGUGGAAAAUGCAAUAGGUUUGGUCAUACUGCAAAGGACUGUGAAGGUCAUAGUCACAAACAAGUAGCCAACUAUGCAAAGGAAGAAGAAGUAACCAUGGGAACUAUGUUCUAUGCUUGUCACUCUGCAAGUUUGCAAGAUAAAAGUAUAUGGUUUGUGGACAGCGCCUGCAGCAACCACAUGACCUCUCAAGAGUCUGUGUUAAUAAACAUUGAUAGGACCGUGACUUGCAAAGUUAAAAUGGGCACUGGAGAUCUUGUACAAUCAACUGGAAAAGGCACUCUAGUGGUUGAAACUCAGCAUGGAAGAAGGUAUAUACAUGAAGUGUUUCUUGUUCCGGGCUUGGAUGAGAAUCUAUUGAGUGUAGGCCAAAUGAUGGAGCAUGGUUACUAUGUCCUAUUUGGGGGUAACAUGGCAGUCAUCUUUGAUGAUGGCAGCCUCAACAAUGUUGUAGCAAAAGUGGUCAUGGGAGGAAACCGAUGUUUCCCUCUCUCACUAGAAUCUAUGACACCUGCAGCAAGGAAGGCAUCAGUGAUUGAAGACUCUUGGAUUUGGCAUAGAAGACUUGGACAUUUGAGCUUUGUUAGCAUGAAAAAGAUGCAGCAUAUGGAAAUGGUGACUGGACUACCUGAGUUAACCGAAAUGAAGGAUGUGUGUGAAGGUUGUGUUUCAGGAAAACAUCACAGAGAGAAAUUUGAUAAAGAGGAAGCAUGGAGAGCAAGCUGUCCACUGGAAUUAGUACACACAGACUUGUGUGGACCAAUGCAAAAUGAGUCAAUUGGUGGAAAUAGGUACUUCAUCACAUUCAUUGAUGACUUUUCAAGAAUGUGCUGGGUAUACUUCCUUAGAAAUAAAUAUGACACCUUUAAUGUGUUCAAGAAAUUCAAAGCUUUUGUUGAAUUGCAAAGUGGAUUUAGUUUGAAAAGGCUAAGGAGUGAUAGAGGAGGUGAAUAUACCUCACAUGAAUUCCAAGAUUUCUGUGCAAGCAUAGGAAUGGAGAGGCAACUAACCAUUGCCUACUCUCCUCAGCAAAAUGGAGUUGCUGAGAGGAGAAAUAGAACAAUCUGUGAGAUGGCAAGAUCCAUGAUGACAAAGAAAGGAAUUCUAGUUAUUUUUUGGGCAGAAGCUGUAAGUACAGCUAUGUAUCUCUAAAACAGAUGUUUUACAACAUCUGUGUCAAGCAAAACACCAUUUGAAGCAUUCACAGGUAGAAAACCAGGAAUCAAGCAUCUGAAAGUUUUCGGUUGCAUCUGUUACAUUCAUGUUCCAUCACCCUUUAGGCAGAAAUUUGAUGACAAGGCUAGAAAGGGAGUUUUUAUGGGAUAUGGAAGCUGUGAAAAGGGUUACAGGGUGUAUGAUCUGCAAUCUAAGAAGAUUGUACUCUCAAGGAGUGUAAUUUUCAGUGAGGACAAGUCAUGGAAUUGGAAGAGUGAUCAAGAGGAAUCUGUUCCAAUACCUUUCAAUCUUGAAAGGGAUGAAAUUGAAGAUGAAAACAAUGAAAUACAACCUGAUGGAACUCAGUUUGAUGAUGGUGGAAGUUCUCAUCUAAACUCCACAGUUGGUGAUUUAGUUGAGAAUGUUAGUGGUAAUGGCAGUCCAAACUCCACACCUAGUUCCACUCCAGUCAAAUUAAAAACUUUGGAAGAUAUAUAUGCAAGGUGUCACAUAUGCAUCAUAGAACCAGAGAAUUAUCAAGAAGCAGCUGGUGAUUUAGCUUGGCAAGAAGCCAUGAAUGCAGAGUUGGAGAUGAUAGAGAAGAAUAAUACUUGGGAAUUGGUUGAGAGACCAGCUGAUAAACCUGUUAUAGGUGUGAAAUGGGUGUUUAAGACUAAGCUUAACUUGGAUGGAACUGUUCAGAAACACAAAGCUAGGCUUGUAGCAGAAGGGUAUUCACAGAAACCUGGGAUUGACUACAACGAAACCUUCGCACCAGUGGCAAGGUUAGAUACAAUUUGAACUCUUAUUGCACUUGCAGCACAAAAGGGUUGGAAACUAUUUCAGCUGGACGUCAAGUCAGCAUUCUUAAAUGGUGUGCUCGAUGAGGAAGUAUAUGUAGAACAGCCUGAAGGCUUUGAACUGGAAAAUGCAGGUCACAAGGUUUACAAGUUGAGAAAAGCCUUGUAUGGACUUAAGCAGGCUCCUAGAGCCUGGUACAGUGAGAUUGAUGCAUAUUUAUCUAUGUGCAAGUUCAAAAGAAGCAUUAGUGAAGCGACUAUGUACACUAGAUCUGAUAAUGAAGGAGGUUUGAUCAUUGUCUCAAUCUAUGUGAUGAAAUUGUUUAUACUGGAAACAAUGAGAGGAUGCUACUGAGUUUAAAAGGGAGAUGAUGCAAAGAUAUGAAAUGUCAGAUCUUGGACUCCUUCAUCACUUCUUGGGCAUGGGAAUACUACAAACUGAUCAAGGGGUUUUCAUUCAUCAAAGCAAGUAUGCCAAAUCCUUGCUUGUGAAGUUUGGGCUUGAAGACUGCAAACUUGUCUCAAUUCCUUUGCCUACUGGUGAGAAACUAAAAAAGGUGGAUGGGAGUGAGUUAGCUGAUGAAGGGCUCUACAGGAAAAUAAUAGGAAGCCUACUAUAUUUAACUGCAACUAGACCUAAUCUAAUGUAUGCUGCUAGCCUGUUAUCAAGGUUUAUGAAUAGUCCUACAAAAAGGCAUAUGGGAGUUGCAAGAAGGGUUCUAAGAUAUGUGCAAGGGACUCUUAGCUAUGGCAUUGAAUACGUGAGAAAUCAGUCAGCAACCCUUGUUGGAUUCUGUGAUGCAGACUGGGCAGGCAGUGAGGAUGAUAGCAGGAGCACUUCUGGCUAUGCAUUUAGUUUUGGAAGUGGAGCAUUCUCUUGGGCUUCUGUGAAACAAAAUACAGUGGCACUAUCAACAGCUGAAGCUGAGUAUGUCUCAGCAGCUGAGGCAACAGUACAGGCCAUUUGGUUAAGAUUUGUUCUUGAUGAUUUUGGUGAAAUGCAAUCUGAGGCAACACCCUUGUUCUGUGACAAUAUGUCAGCAAUUUCGAUGGCCAAGAAUCCAGUUUUUCAUCAAAGAACUAGACACAUAAACAGAAGGUAUCAUUUUAUAAGAGAAGCUUUGCAAGAAGGUGUGAUCAACAUGCAAUUCUACAGAAGUGAAGAACAGCUCGCAUAUAUUUUUACUAAAGCACUGCCCAAAGACAGAUUCAAGCAUCUAAGGUUGAAACUUGGAGUUAAGCCAGUAAGCAGCUUAGGAGAGGCUGUUGAGAAUUAAGCUGCAUACUCAGCUUAAAUCAACCUGCAGAUGACAAUCCUGCAUAUUGGAAUUGAAGAGAUGAAGAAUUAGUUUUUUUUUUAAAUAGCCGUUAGUUUAAAUAUGUAACAGCUUUAUUUCUGUUUUUAGAAACCAGCACAGCUGUUAUUUUUGUCCUAUUUGGUUUGUACUGGGUCAUCCGAUCUUUCUCCAAGUGGAAAGAUCGUAGCCUCCUAUGGUCUGAAUGGCUGGAGAUGAGUCCUUGCUCCCUAAAAACUAGGGUCUGUUUUUUGACUGAGAUAAGAAUAUAGUCAUGUAAUACCUCUGCGUUUUGAUAUAGAGAAAUAUACUGAAACCUUCAAAUCCUCUGUUUUUUCCUAUCCUUCUUUCUCUGAGGUGUAUUUCUCCUAAAGGUUUCAGCUGCUGUUUUCAACCUAAAGUAUUAAGCUUGAUACUAAAUCAACAAAAAUACCCUACAUCAUGGCCUUCUUCUUCGCCGCAAUCAACCACUAAAUCUUCAUGCCUUCUCUGAUUCUGAUUAGGCAGGCAAUCGAGAUUAUCGCACUUCCACCACUGCUUACAUUGUCUAUCUUGGCAGCAAUGUCAUCUCUUGGUGUUCCUGAAAACAAAAGACGAUUGCUCGCUCCUCCACUGAGGCUGAGUAUCGAGCCAUUGCCUCUACAACUGCUGAACUCACCUGGAUAUCCUCUCUGCUCACUGAACUUGGCAUCACCACUUCUCAGCCUAACUUUAUAUUGUGACAACAUGGGUGCCACAUAUCUUUGUGCCAAUCCAGUUUUUCACUCUCGUAUGAAACAUAUUGCACUCGAUUACCAUUUCGUUCCCGAAAAAGUUACAAAUGGCGCUCUUCGUGUUUCUCAUAUCUCCACCCAUGACCAACUGGUUGACCUUCUCACCAAAUCGGUAAGUUGAUCCUGGUUUUGCCUUCUUCGAUCCAAGACUGGUAUCUCCUAUGGGAGUACCAUCUUGUGGGGGCAUAUAAGAUCCAAUCAAGCCAUUCAACCACAAGCAGAUCCUAGCAAUCAAGCAAUACCAGAUUGACAUAUGGUUGACUUCCAGUGAUUUAGGAUCUUGAUUUUACACUGUUGUAAUUGCUUCUAUUUUGCCUAGUGUUUAGGAAUUCAUUCAUUUUAUUCUGUAAAAGGUUCUCCUCACUACUACAAAAAAGCAAAAAGACGACGGUAAAUCACCGUCGUGUAUUCGGUUUUUCAAUGGUCGUGGAAUCCACCGUCAUCUUUUCCCUCAUAAACCACGACGCUAAAUCACCGUCGUUGUUAAAAUAUACAACGUCAUCAACAAAUACAAAACGACGUCUUUGUACUGCAAAAAGAUCUAAAAAAGCAGUCGAGGAUGAGAAUAGACGACCAACUCUCUAAAAAAACCGUCGUUAAAAAGGAAAAAUAUGACACAUAUUAACAGAACAAGGCCGCAAGAUAGACAUACAACGACGAAAAUUAAAAUAAGACGCCGUUAAAUAUCAUUUUCACGACAAUAAAAAAUAUGACGUCUUUAAAUACAUUAGAAGACGAUGUUAUUGAUACCUACUACGUCGCCUAUAUAAAAACAGCCGUCGUAAAAUAAAUUUUCCACUUCGAUUUUUCUAUAAAAGAUGACGUGGAAAUAGUUGUCAGUGUCAUUAUUUACGACGUAUGUAUUUAUAGAGUAGACGUUGAACAACGAAACAACGUCGGUUACAAAUAUAUGAGAGUCGUAUUACAAAAUUUAUACGUCCUAUUUUCAGAAACAAACAACGACGAUAAAUAUUAGACGUUGUUAAAUAAAACAACGUCAAAAACAAAUAAAAACAGACGUGUUUAGUCUGCUAAAGUUCUAAAAAAUAGUCGAGGAUGAGAAUAGACGACCAACUCAAACAAAUCACCAUCGUUAAAAAGGAAAAAUAUGACACAUAUUAAAAGAACAAGGCCGCAAGAUAGACAUACAACGACGACAACUAAAACACUACGCCGUUAAAUAUAAUUUUCACGACAAGAAAAAAUAUGACGUCUUUAAAUACUUGAGAAGACGACGUUAUUGAAAUCUACUACGUCUCUUAUUUACAAACAACCGUCGUGAAAUAAAUUUUCCACUUCAAUUUUUCUAAAAAAGAUGACGUGGAAAUAGUUGUCAGUGUCAUUAUUUACGACGUAUGUAUUUAUAUAGUUGACGUUGAAAUGCGAAACAACGUCGGUGGCAUUUAUAUAGUCGACGUUGUAUUUAUAUGUAUUCAUUACUCACGACGCACUUAUUAAUAUAGACGACGUUGAACUUCUAAACAACGUCGGUUCCAAAUAAAUGAGAGCCGUAUUACAGAACAUAUAGACGGCGUUGAUUAUGAUGAGAGCCGUAUUACAAAUAACGUCGUUUAAUUGAUAUUAGACGGCGGUUAUAAUGAAUUACCGUCAGAAUUCAUUUCGUUCCUCUUCGUUUAUAAAAGAACUUGCGACGUGGAAAAUGUAUGAUGACGUCGUAUUUUUUAACGUUCAGAUUAUAUAUCUCGUUUUUUAGACGUCGGUAUUAUGGGAUUGGAGUCGUGUUAUUUUGAAUUACAUGGCGGUUCUUAAUCCUUCCCCGACGUGAUAUCCUGAAUAAUUGCUUCACAAUAGCGUCGUGGUUCUUCAUUGUUACGUUGCUUUAAGACGUCGGUAAAUAUGCUGAAUAACUGGUUCACAAUAACGUCGUGUUUUAUUUGAACGUAGAAAGUGAAGAAAUCACAUUACAAUAUAUUACAAAAUUAAUGUCAUACACUGCCAAUUACAUAAGCAUCAUUCAAUCCAUAUAUCUUCACACCCAUCUCGAAUAUUUUGACCACCUAACUCACCCACCAGUUCAUCAAAUGUGUCAACAUUUGGCAUCCCUCUAGUAAAUGGCUCACACUCAAUUAUCACAUCACCUAAGACUUCAUCACCAAUAACAUCAUUAUAUUCUCUAUUAGGCAUUGAUAACACUACCGACCAACCACGAUGCAUCGGGUCGUCAACAAAAAAUAUUUGUUUGACUUGAGAAGCCAAAACAAAUUGGUCAUUCCUAUGUCCAAUUUUACUCAAAUCUACAAGGGUAAAUCCAAGUUCGUCGACUACAAGACCAGAACUAUCUAUCCAAUCACACCUAAAGACUGGGAUUGUAAACUUUUGGUAGUCAAGGUCCCAAAUUUCUUGAAUGACACCAUAGAAACCCAUAUUUGAGAGAAUUGGGUUUUUAUCCUUGGCACUAGCAACUUGCAUGGUAUGUGCAAGUAAAUAAACUCCACUAUUUUGAGUUGUCUGCACAUCAUCUUGUUCCUUGAUAUUGAAUUUAAUACCUUUAAUAAGAUAGCUCCUAUAUAAUGGCACUGCCAUGUUUGGACCAGCUGCUAGCCAUCUUAAAUUUUCUGAUACGCCAUGAUUGUCUUCCUCAAGUUCACUUUGAACCUGCAAAUUAAUCAUAUCUUAAUUCAAUCUAACAUAGAAAUAAGAAGAAAAUUAAAGAGAAAUAUGUUAUUCAACAACAUAUACCUUGAAGCGUAGCCAUUGAAUGAAAGUGCUAUUGUGCUUAUCCUGCAGCCNNNNNNNNNNNNNNNNNNNNNNNNNNNNNNNNNNNNNNNNNNNNNNNNNNNNNNNNNNNNNNNNNNNNNNNNNNNNNNNNNNNNNNNNNNNNNNNNNNNNNNNNNNNNNNNNNNNNNNAUUUAAAAUGGAAACCUCAAGCCCCUUAGUCUCCAAUGUACUCGAUAUAAGGUAGGACUUCCUCCGUAUUCUCCAAGACAUAUAGAUGUGCUUGAUUCAACAAGUCCUGAUCAACUACGCUCACUGUGCAACCUGAUAAUGGCUUUGAAACUCCCAUCUUUUGGCUUGAAGGCACUCCAACUGUACUAACAUCAGAUAAAUGCUGAGUACAAAACUCUACCGCUUCUUCAGCUAUAUACCGCUCAGCAAUGCAACCUUCGGGACGAGUACGAUUCUGAACAUACCCCUUCAGCACUUUCAUAUAUCUUUCAAACGGAUACAUCCACCUAAAAUAUACUGGCCCACAUAGACGAACUUCUCUGACAAGAUGUACUACUAGAUGAACCAUGAUAUCAAAGAAUGAAGGGGGAAAGUACUUCUCAAGCAAACACAGAGUAACUACUACAUCUUCUUCCAACUUAUCUAGCUUGGAAACAUCAACAGUCUUUGCACAUAUAGCAUUGAAAAAGAAGCACAAACGAGUUAUUGCAUACCUUGCAGGCUUCUCCAAAACAGAACGAAUUGCCACAGGGAGCAAUUGUUGCAUUAAGGUAUGACAAUCAUGUGAUUUAAGGCCAAGAAGUCUUGAAUCUUUUAAAGAUACAAGAUUUUUAAUAUUUGAAGAAUAACCUUCAGGGACCUUCAUACCAUAGAAAGAAUUGCAAACCUCUCUCUUCUCUGCUCUUGACAAAUUCCAAGGCCCAGGAGGCAAACGAGUACGUCUUUCUCCAUACUCGGGUUGCAAAUCAGUUUUGACCCCCAUGUUCAAUAAAUCUAAUCGAGCAGCAAUCCCAUCUUUAUUUUUUCCAGGGAUCUCCAGCAAUGUACCAAUGAUACUAUCGCAAACAUUCUUCUCAAUGUGCAUAACAUCUAGGGCAUGCCUCACAGGAAGGUAUUUCCAAUACUCGAGAUCAAAGAAUAUUGAUUUCUUCUUCCAACAAACUCUGUCACCAUUUUCAACCAUAUGCAGCACUUCUUCUCCGGUUAAUGGCUCGGGAGGUAUGCUAUAUUCAGGUUUCCCAUUAAAAGCUGCACGUUGCCUCCUAUAUGGAUGAUUGAUUGGUAACCAUUUUCUAUGCCCAAUGUAACAAAUUUUGUGGCCAUUUUUCAACCUGUGACUAGGUGUAUCAUCGCCACAUAUUGGACAAGCUUUAUAUCCUUUAACAACACAACCAGAUAAGUUUCCAUAGGCGGGAAAAUCAUUAAUUGUCCACAUUAAUGCAGCUCUGAGUGUAAAGUAUUCUCCAUUAUGUGCAUCAUACACUCCUCUAAUCUCAUCCCACAAAGAUUUUAAAUCAUCAAUCAAAGGCUCCAAGUAGACGUCUAUAUCAUUUCCGGGUUGUUUAGGACCGGAAAUCAAUAAGGUUAACAUCAUGAACUUUCGUUUCAUGCACAGCCAUGGAGGGAGAUUAUAUGUAACUAAGAUAACCGGCCAACAACUAUAUCUGCUACUUAGAGAACUGUGGGGAUUGAAUCCAUCAGAUGAAAGAGCCAAUCUCAAGUUUCUCGGCUCAUUACCAAACUCAGGCCAUUUAUCAUCAAGAAGUUUCCAAGACGGGGAAUCCGCCGGAUGAGACAUUUGACCGUCAAUUGAUUUUCUAGCAGCACGCCAAGUCAAACUCUUAGCUGUCUCAUGUGAUUGAAACAUCCUUUUAAACCUUGGAAUUGGAGGAAAAUACCACACCACCUUCGCUGGCACACCCUCUUUCAAGAUUGAAUCUUUGCCUUCCUUCCACCUUGAGAUACCACAAGUAGGACAAUUAGUUGAAUCCUCAUACUCCUUCCUAUACAAGAUGCAAUCAUUGGGGCAUGCGUGCAUUUUCUCAUAACUCAGCCCCAAUGCACACAAAGUCUUUUUAGCCUCAUACAUAGAGGUUGGUAUUGUAUUUCCUUCUGGAAGCAAAUCGCCUUGAAGUAUCAAUAAUUCUGUAAAACAGACAUCACUCAUCCCAUGUUUUGCCUUCAAAUUAUACAACUUCACUAAUGCCGAUAACUUCGUGCACUUUCUACAACCAGGGUACACUGGUUGAUCUCCAUCCCCAAUCACAUUGGCAAACUCAUACAGAUCGGAACCAAAAUCACCAAAAUCAUUAUCAUCCAUAUCAAUUUCUUCAGACACAAAACUGUACCUACUAUGGCCAUCAUCUUCUUCAACAUUUCUACUAGCAUUAGUAGUUGCUUCCCAAGGUUCUCCGUGAAAUGUCCAAUUCUUAUAGCUUUGGUCAAUUCCAUUAAAGUAUACGUGAUCCCUUAUAAUUCCAACCCCAAACAACUUCAAAUUAUCACGGUUAACACAUGGACAACGGAUAUGUGUUGUAGUUAGAAGAUUUUCUACAGCAAAGUUCAAAAAUGCUUCCACCCCAAACUCAUAUGCCUUCGAUCUUCUAUCCGAGUGCAUCCAUGACUUAUCCAUCUCCGACACUAUAACCUAUUAUCUAUAAUAAAGUGAAAAUACAGGCAAUGACCAUCACUAUAGCAGAUUAUACAAAGAUCUAAUAGCAAGUAAUACACAACAGAGACGACGGGUUUUAAACAAAAACAGACGUAUUUGGCAUAUAUAGACGACGGAUUUUCAACAGACGUCGUCUAAUAUAAGUAAUACAAACGACGGUUUAUGAAAAAACCGUCGUGUAUAAGUAAUACAACGACGGUAGUUUAAAAAAACCGUCGUGUAAUCGUCGUCGUAUGCCUAAAAAGGCGUCGUGUCUCAAUUUAUUUUCAAGAACCCAAAAUCCAUUAAGAACACAACAUAUAUAUGAAACCAAACAAGAAACCAACAUAUACAUGAAACCAAGCAUGAAAACAAUAAAUCCAUUCCCAAUUCAACAUAACAUAGGGUGAUUAAAAGAUCCGACAAAAUUAAAUCCAUUCCCAAUUCAACAUAACAGAUAAUGUAAUCCAUGAACCCAUUAAACAGAAAAUCCAUGAACCCAUACCUAUAAGCACAUUAUUAACAGAUCGCAAAGCAUAUACCUAAAACCCUUUAACAAAACAACCUAAUAUCAUUCAAUGAAUUUACAAAGGGAAGAUAGGGUUUGUACUUACAGGUUGGACGAGCUCACAGAUUCGACGGAGCCAGGAGAGUGCAACUUUUAAUUAGAGCAGAAGUGAGAGAGCGAAAUGUUAUGUUGCGCGAAAUCUAAAAAUUUUAGGGUUCAGGGUUAGAAGUAUAAGAAUAAGAGCCAAAUCUAAAAAAUUUAGGUCGCGCGAAAAUUUUUAAAGAGCGCGCUCUUUAAAACGUCGAAAGAAAAACCAUGGCGAAAGUUCUACAAGAACCGACGUAAAUGUAAUAUUCCACGACAAAAACACUGAACGUAACGCCGUUUAUUUUGACGCUUCAUUUUUCGGAUUAAUUUUAAAUUUAUUUUUAAUAUUUUGAUAUAAAGACGACUGAAAAACCACGGCGGGGUUAAGAAAUUGAAGACGUUGUAAAUUAUAAUAGACGACUUACAUAUUAAAAUGACGUCGUUUAAAGUAUAAACCAUGUCGGAUAUUUUACUGCACGACGUAACAUAUGUAUUCCACGACUCAACCACCGUCGUUAAAAAUUAAUACCCUAAACCCUUAAAACUAAAUUAUAUAAUUUUAAAAUUUAAGUUUAUAAAAGGGUUUAUGGUUUUACAGCCUAAUAUAUACCCUAGACUACCCAAAAAUUAUACUUUAAAAAUAAACCCCAAUAAAUAACAACCCUAAUCUCUAAACCCUAGACUCUAAACCCUAAACCAUAAAACUAGAAGUGAUUUUAGGACUCAUCAAAACAAUUUUAUUUUGGAUGGUCAUUUUAAAUUUUUGUUAUUCAAAAUGAAUUUUUUCAAGGUUUAGGCGGAAGAAAAUAUAUCAAUGACUUCAUAGGAGUUGACUUUGCAUUUUUCUGAUUUAUUUUAAAUUUAUUUUGAAUAUUUUGAUAUAAAAAUAAUAAAAUAUUCUUAUCACAAUAACAAACCACGUCGGGGUUAAGAAAUUGAAGACGUUGUAAAUUAUAAUAGACGACUUACAUAUUAAAAUGACGUCGUUUAAAGUAGAAACCAUGUCGGAUAUUUUACUGCACGACGUAACAUAUAUAUUCCACGACUCAACCACCGUCGUUAAAAAUUAAUACCCUAAACCCUUAAAACUAAAUUAUAUAAUUUAAAAUUUUAAGUUUAUAAAAGGGUUUAUGGUUUUACAGCCUAAUAUAUACCCUAUACUACCCAAAAAUUAUACUUUAAAAAUAAACCCCAAUAAAUAACAACCCUAAUCUCUAAACCCUAAACCAUAAAACUAGAAGUGAUUUUAUGACUCAUCAAAACAAUUUUGUUUUCGAUGGUCAUUUUAAAUUUUUAUUAUUCAAAAUGAAUUUUUUCAAGGUUUAGGGGGAAGAAAAUAUAUCAAUGACUUCAUAGGAGUUGACUUUGCAUUUUUCUGAUUUAUUUUAAAUUUAUUUUGAAUAUUUUGAUAUAAAAAUAAUAAAAUAUUCUUAUCACAACAACAAACCACGUCGGUGUUAAUAAAAUAUUCUUCUCACAAUCAGCAAGAUCCAAUGACGGCUGCACAAAAUUAAUAUAAAAACGACGUAUUAUAAUAUUUCACACGACGAAAUAAAGUAGCAAUCGACGACAUUAUAUAUUUAUCACGACGAUAAAUAACUACCGACGUGGUUAGUAAUUUCAAACGACUCAAUAAAAUAAAACACCGACGUGGUUAGUUUAUACGCUGUCAUUUAUUGAAAAUCAUAAAAACAAAAUCCUGUUAAGGAGACUAACCCUGGAUUGUAAGGCAUCAUGAAAAUCUGUUCACCAUCAGUCUUUUGAAGUCAAGCUGCUACCAAUCGUGAUCUGUCAGUUAUUGUCCCAGAGUUGGCACUAACUGUAGCAGGGUCGAUAAAGCCAACCAUGCUGCACAUAUUUGCUUGUUUCAAAAGAUCAUGUAAGUACCUAAAUAUAUAAAAUAAUAUAAACAAGUCAGCACAAAAAAAAACACACGACGGUUAUGUAUAACAAAACGACGUAUUAUAAAAUUUCACACGACGUACUGAAAUAGACAACGACGUUAUAAUAUAUUUAUCACGACGGUACACACUAACGAUGUGGUUAGUUAGUUAAGACGAUGCAAUAAAUAAAUCAACGACGUAUUAUUUUAGAAUGACAAACCUCAUAUAUACAGCAACCACAGUAGCUCCUAUUUCUUCCAUGCCUGCAAAUUGUGUAAUAUCUUCAGGCAGAACGAAGGUAUCGCGUUCUAGACCAAACACCUCCUUAUCAAUUGUAAAGUUCAGGGUCUUAUCCUGAGGCACGAGUGUCGUUUCCACAUAACGACAAAGGGAUUUUAAAGAAUAUGGCGCCUCCAUAUUUGAAUAAUCAACAACUUUAAUAACCUGUUUAAAGAAAUAAAAAAAAUGACGUGGUAAUUCAAUAAAAACGACGGUUUAAGAAAUAAAACGUCGUCUGAAAAGAAUUUAAACGACGGUGAAAAAACCGUCGUGGUGAAUAAUUUAUUACGUCUUAGAAAAAAAUUCCGCCGUCUAAGUUUACAAACGACGGUUUAAAGAAAAAUAUCGACGUCUGAAAUUUUGAAAAACAAAUAAAAAAGGCAAAGUUAUGUGAACAUACCUGGUCGUCAUGCUUUUCUUCAUCUUCUUUCUCCUUUUCAUCUUGUUUUUCUUCUUUCUUCUCUUCAUCUUUUUUUUCUUCAUUCUUCUCUUCAUCUUGAUUUCCUUCAUUUUUCUGUUUUAAGUAAUAAAGAAUGUAGAGAAAGUAAAAAAAUUAAAUUCAAAUGUCGUGGUAAGACAAAACACAAGACAGUAUGUAAGAAUUAUGGACGUCUUAAAUUAUUAAACGAUGGUAAAUAGUAAACGUCGUGGGAUUGAUAUAUUACGUCGGGAAUGACUAACACCGUCGUCUAAAAACCACAAAGUUUUAAAAAUAACGACGUUUAAUGGCAUGUAAAACAAGUAAACUAAAUACGACGUGGUAUUGAAAUACAAACGACGGUUUAUUUUUAAAAUCGUCGUGGUAUGUAUUUCAAACGACAGUUUUAUUAAUAAUAACGACGUCUAAUAGUUUUUAAAAAAACAGAGAAUUCAAAGUUCAGAUAUGUUACCUUUUCUUCCUGAUGUUUCCCAUUUUUGGCAGUAUCAUCCUCAAAAUGUAGGGAUCUCACAUCACCUCCAUAGCAACUUGCUUUGUCAGACAUUGGAUUUUUGGGACUUUGGCUAAUUCUUGGUUUAAGCAUGCUUGGAUCAAAAUUGGGAAUUAAUUGGGAAAGCUGACUCAGGAAAUGCGCUCAGCCUCUACCAAUUGUUUGGUUCUAGCCUCCAUCCUUAAAGCCUCUUCCCUUGCCUUAGCUUCCAUCUUUUUAUUCUCUUCUUGAAGGAGAACUCUCAAACUGCCCUUUAAACGGUCGUCAAAGCUCAUCCUCUGUGGUUUGGGUAAAUUGAAAUAUUGCCUUGGGGAAAUUCCAGCACCUACACCUCUCACUCUGCCUGGAUGCUCGGAGCCCAAAGCCAUGGUCAGCACAUCAUUGCUGCCAGAUACACUGACUUUGCCUUCCGAGACUUAUUUUUGCAAUUCAUCCUAAAACAAAGAUAUAUAAAAAAGUAAGAACAAAAAACACACGACGGUUAUUUAUAUACAAACGACGUAUUAUAUAAUUUCACACGACGCAAUAACAUAUAAAUCGACGUUAUUAUAAUUUAUCACGACGGUAGUUAUACCGACGUGGUUAGUUUUUUAAAACGAUGAAAUGAAUAAACCACCGACGUCUUAUGCUUUAUUUACAGAUAACAGAGGGAUGAUUCAAUAUUCACACCUUUAACGACCUUGUUUAAAACAUUUCGACGUAGUAAUUUAAUACAAACGACGCGAAAAUGAACCACCGACAUCUUAUGCUAUAAUUACAGAAAACAGAGUAGUGAUUCCUGAUUUAGACCUUUAACGACGUUUUUUAAAAAAUGUCGACGUGGUAAUAUCAUUCACACGACGCAAAAUAUAACAUAAGACGUAAUAAGAAUUAUUCACAGUUUAAUAAAAAUUUAAAACAGAGUGAGUAGGCUUACAAUUAAUUUUGCUUUCUCUGCCACCUUUGGAUCCGGGAUGUUACCAUGUUUGUCCUGUCUAGCUCUCUUCCAUAAGGUAGAUCGAUCAAUUUCUACCCCAGGCAUGGUUUCCUCGAAUUGAUCCUCCAAACCAGCAUAUCCUUUUCGAGACAAUCGAUGAUUGUACUCAAGUUUCUCCCUAAUCUGUGCAUGUUGAGAAUGCACAGACUCAAAAUCUUUGGAUAACCUUGAAGCUACAAAGGCAUCCCAUUGUGCUUUCUCUAUGAAUUUAUAUGUUUCAAGGGGUUGGCUUAAUCUCUCCCUGUCAUUGGUGUAUGGAAGGAUAUAAUGCCUCGUUAGUGUAGACUUGAAAUCCUUCCAUUUCUUGGCAGCAGAAGCUAACACAGAGUUCUUGCCCCCUUGACCUACCACAAAAGCAAUGUCAACUGCUUCCCAAAUCUGCUCCUUUAUAUCCUUGGGGAUUUGAGCCCAUUUCAUGUCCACAAGUGGAACUCUGGAGCGUGCCAACACACCAAUGUAGGACUGCAUCUCACUAUGUGCUUGGCCAAUUCCUUUCCCCCUUUUAUUGUACUCAACAAUUGGCCUGAGUUUCUGAAGUUUUCUCUUCACAACACGAGGCAUUGUGCUCAUACCUCGACCAGACUUUGAAUCAUCAGAGAUUGUUGUCGUGCUGGUUGGUUCUGUCUCAGCAGAUGAUGAAGCAAACUUCAUCUUCUUCGAAGACUUCAUCUUCUUCGAAGACUUCUCUUGAGGAGUUACCAUUCCAAGCUCCUUACCUCCAUUUUUCUUGGAGCCAGAGUCCUUACUUUGGUCUUGAGAAACCAUUUUUACAGACAAAACUACAAGUGAAAAUAUUUCAGGAAAAGAUUAAGAACAUAAACGACGGUUAUUAAUAAAAUACGACGUAUGAUAUGAUUUUAAACGACGCAAUGAAAUAAUCUCAGACGUAAUAAAUGUUUACAACCAAGGUAAUUAAACAACGACGAAAUAAUAUAAAAUAAGACGUAAUAAUAACUUAUUACGUCGAUAUUUACCGGACGACGUGAUAAUUAACUAUAAACAACGAAAUAUUUAUAUAACGUCGUGGUAUUGAUGUUCACACGACGUCAAUAGUAAUAUACCGUCGUCUAUAUAAGGAUCCAAAACCCUUCUUUCUUUCUCUGUGAAUGUUUGAUUGCAGAUUUAAUUUUUCUGAACCAUGGUUUUUGUUUUCUAAUUUGAUAAAAUACAAGGCCAAGAAAGAAAGUUUUGGAAAUACCUUCCUGUGAGGCAUGCCCUAGAUGUUAUGCACAUUGAGAAGAAUGUUUGCGAUAGUAUCAUUGGUACAUUGCUGGAGAUCCCUGGAAAAAAUAAAGAUGGGAUUGCUGCUCGAUUAGAUUUAUUGAACAUGGGGGUCAAAACUGAUUUGCAACCCGAGUAUGGAGAAAGACGUACUCGUUUGCCUCCUGGGCCUUGGAAUUUGUCAAGAGCAGAGAAGAGAGAGGUUUGCAAUUCUUUCUAUGGUAUGAAGGUCCCUGAAGGUUAUUCUUCAAAUAUUAAAAAUCUUGUAUCUGUACAAGAUUCAAGACUUCUUGGCCUUAAAUCACAUGAUUGUCAUACCUUAAUGCAACAAUUGCUCCCUGUGGCAAUUCGUUCUGUUUUGGAGAAGCCUGCAAGGUAUGCAAUAACUCGUUUGUGCUUCUUCUUCAAUGCUAUAUGUGCAAAGACUGUUGAUGUUUCCAAGCUAGAUAAGUUGGAAGAAGAUGUAGUAGUUACUCUGUGUUUGCUUGAGAAGUACUUUCCCCCUUCAUUCUUUGAUAUCAUGGUUCAUCUAGUAGUACAUCUUGUCAGAGAAGUUCGUCUAUGUGGGCCAGUAUAUUUUAGGUGGAUGUAUCCGUUUGAAAGAUAUAUGAAAGUGCUGAAGGGGUAUGUUCAGAAUCGUACUCGUCCCGAAGGUUGCAUUGCUGAGCGGUAUAUAGCUGAAGAAGCGGUAGAGUUUUGUACUCAGCAUUUAUCUGAUGUUAGUACAGUUGGAGUGCCUUCAAGCCAAAAGAUGGGAGUUUCAAAGCCAUUAUCAGGUUGCACAGUGAGCGUAGUUGAUCAGGACCUGUUGAAUCAAGCACAUCUAUAUGUCUUGGAGAAUACGGAGGAAGUCCUACCUUAUAUCGAGUACGUAUGAGUUUUAUUCUUUAAGUUUCCAUUUAAAAUUAUUUCUUAUGUUUAUCUUAUAUAUUUGGGACCGUAAUGCUUGAAUUUUUCGUGUCAUGUAGGCAACAUAUGAUCCACAUCAAGACUGCUUAUCCAAAAUUUAGAAAGAGAACAAAGUGGCUGCAGGAUAAGCACAAUAGCACUUUCAUUCAAUGGCUACGCUUCAAGGUAUAUGUUGUUGAAUAACGUAUUUCUCUUUUAAUUUUCUUCUUAUUUAUAUGUUAGGAUGAAUUAAGAUAUGAUUAAUUUGCAGGUUCAAAGUGAAGUUGAGGAAGACAAUCAUGGCGUAUCAGAAAAUUUAAGGUGGCUAGCAGCUGGUCCAAACAUGUCAGUGCCAUUAUAUAGGAGCUAUCUUAUUAAAGGUAUUAAAUUCAAUAUCAAGGCACAAGAUGAUGUGCGGACAACUCAAAAUAGUGGAGUUUAUUUACUUGCACAUACCAUGCAAGUUGCUAGUGCCAAGGAUAAAAACCCAAUUCUCUCAAAUAUGGGUUUCUAUGGUGUCAUUCAAGAAAUUUGGGACCUUGACUACCAAAAGUUUACAAUCCCAGUCUUUAGGUGUGAUUGGAUAGAUAGUUCUGGUCUUGUAGUCGACGAACUUGGAUUUACCCUUGUAGAUUUGAGUAAAAUUGGACAUAGGAAUGACCAAUUUGUUUUGGCUUCUCAAGUCAAACAAAUAUUUUUUGUUGACGACCCGAUGCUUCGUGGUUGGUCGGUAGUGUUAUCAAUGCCUAGUAGAGAAUAUAAUGAUGUUAUUGGUGAUGAAGUAUUAGGUGAUGUGAUAAUUGAGUGUGAGCCAUUUACUAGAGGGAUGCCAAAUGUUGACACAUUUGAUGAACUGGUAGGUGAGUUAGGCGGUCAAAAUAUUCGAGAUGGGUGUGAAGAUAUAUGGAUUGAAUGAUGCUUAUGUAAUUGGCAGUGUAUGACAUUAAUUUUGUAAUAUAUUGUAAUGUGAUUUCUUCACUUUCUACGUUCAAAUAAAACACGACGUUAUUGUGAAUCAGUUAUUCAGCAUAUUUACCGACGUCUUAAAGCAACGUAACAAUGAAGAACCACGACGCUAUUGUGAAGCAAUUAUUCAGGAUAUCACGUCGGUGAAGGAUAAAGAACCGCCAUGUAAUUCAAAAUAACACGACUCCAAUCCCAUAAUACCGACGUCUAAAAAACGAGAUAUGUAAUCUGAACGUUAAAAAAUACGACGUCAUCAUACAUUUUCCACGUCGCAAGUUCUUUUAUAAACGAAGAGGAACGAAAUUAAUUCCGACGGAAAUUCAUUAUAACCGCCGUCUAAUAACAAUUAAACGACGUUAUUUGUAAUACGGCUCCCAUCAUAAUCUACGCCGUCUAUAUGUUCUGUAAUACGGCUCUCAUUUAUUUGGAACCGACGUUGUUUAGACGUUCAACGUCGUCUAUAUUAUUAAGUGCGUCGUGAGUAAUGAAUACAUAUAAAUACAACGUCGACUAUAUAAAUGUAUACGUCGUAAAUAAUGACACUAACAACUAUUUCCACGUCAUCUUUUUUAGAAAAAUCGAAGUGGAAAAUUUAUUUCACGACGGUUUUUUGUAAAUAAGAGACGUUGUAGAACUUUAGCAGACUAAACACGUCUGUUUUUAUUGUUUUCCGACGUUGUUGUAUUUAACAACGUCUAAUAUUUAUGGUCGUUGUUUGUUUCUGAAAAUAGGACGUAUAAAUUUUUUAAUACGACUCUCAUAUAUUUGUAACUGACGUUGUUUAGUUUUUCAACGUCUACUAUAGAAACACAUACGUCGUAAAUAAUGACACUGACAACUAUUUCCACGUCAUCUUUUAUCGAAAAAUCGAAGUGGAAAAUUAAUUGUACGACGGUUGUGUUUAUAUGUGCGACGUAGUAGGUAUCAAUAACGUCGUCUUCUAAUGUAUUUAAAGACGUCAUAUUUUUUAUUGUCGUGAAAAUUAUAUUUAACGUCGGCGUAUUUUUAUUGUCGUCGUUGUAUGUCUAUCUUGCGGCUUUGUUCUCUUAAUAUGUGUCAUAUUUUCCCUUUUUAACGACGGUGUUUUUAGAGAAUUGGUCGUCUAUUAUCAUCCUCGAUUGCUUUUUUUAGAUCUUUUUGCAGUACAAAGACGUCGUUUUGUAUUUUUUGAUGACGUUGUAUUGUUUAACAACGACGGUUAUUUAGCGUCGUGGUUUAUGAGGGAAAAGAUGACGGUGGAUUCCACGACCAUUGAAAAACCAAAUACACGACGGUGAUUUACCGUCGUCUUUUUGCUUUUUUGUAGUAGUGAAUCUUAUAUAGACGACGGUAUUUUAAUAUGACGUCGUGGUAUUAACAUUCACACGACGUAAAACAAUAAGAUACUGUUGUCUAUAUUAGAUACCAACCCUACUUUCUUUUUCUUUAUAUUUUAUCAAAUUAGGGAAAAACAAAAAUCAUUGUUCAGAGAAAUCAAACCUGCAAUUAAACAAGCAAAUAAAAAAAAGACUAUAAUUUUAAAAACAACUUUGUCAAUUUUCAGACGACGCUAGAACGACUGACGAACCGUCGUGGUCUACAUAUUUAACCACGUAAAUAAGAAGCUACCGUCGUCUUAUUUAGUUGAGGUAGUUGUCUUCAAAGUUGGAAACUUUCCCUCUUUGUCUGUAUAUUUUAUCAAACUUGGAAAGAAGUAAAAUGAUUUUGGCCAGAAAAAAGGUAAAAAGAUUUUUCAAACAAAAAACGUAUGAGCAUGCAAAACAGCAACCAAAAUAGUGAAAAUGAAAGCUUACCUUUUGCGUGCAAUGAAAGCAAGAGGAAGACGAUGUUUAAGUUCAGAGACAACGAAGAAGACGAGAGGAAGACGAUGAGAUACUCUGACAGUGCUCUGACAAGGAAAAAAGACAAAAAGUUUUCUCUGGGAGAUUGAAAUUUUUAAUCGGGUUUGGAAACAGUGCAUGUGUAAGUCAGGUAGACGAAAAGUUGCUUACAUAUAAAACCAUUUCAAAAAAAUAAUACGGCGGUUACAUAUAACUACGACGUAUAAAUUACAAAAUACGACGGUACAUUUAACUUUGGACGUGGUAAAUAAAUACGACAGUAGUGUUGUAGGUACCGUCGUAGUAAACUCAAAAAUUAAAGUACAUAAGUAAUAACUCGCGUCAUGGUAGAUUAUUUAACACGUCGUUUUUAUUAAUGUACCGACGUGGAUUUCUGUAAUAUACGUCGGUCAUACCGACGUUGAUUUUACAAUUUAAACGGCGGUUUUUUUGUAAGAACCGCCGUUGGUUUUAAAAAUUUAUUCUAUAAAUUUGUCGCUUUCAUUCAUUUUCGGUUUACAUUUAGGGUUCCAAGUUCUUCCUCUCUCAGAGAUACUGUCUCUCACAUCUCAAAGACAAUAAUUUGGAUGUCUUUCUCAAAGAGAAAUUGAGCUUACUCGCAUCAAAUCUAUGUCCACAAGAAGAAGCUUGUCAACUAGCCUUCUCACUUCCUUGAUCAAGCCUGAUAGGACACUUAGUGCUUCUGAAUACUCCUUGCUUUCCAUCAAAAGAGAUGCAAGCCUGGCCUCCACUCGCUGUCGAAGGAAAGUUCGCUUCUCAGGGAAAUCUGAAGAUCAGAUGUGCCUGAUCCUCUGCUUGAUUUUCUUGGCUAAGAAGAUCCGUCAGAUUUGUGAUAGCCUCUUCCUUUAUCCGUAGAGCUUCAGAAGAAGAAGAUGGGUUUCAAGAAUGCGAUAAAGAAUAGAAAUGGCUUCAGAUGGCCUCUAAAGCAUGAGCAAUCGAAUCAGUAGUUGCUGGGAGAUAUGAUGAAGACAUUGUCAAUGCUUUGAACUAUACAAGUCCUGCAGAAAAAUAAAGGACCAAACUGUUAAAGAAACUGAAACAACGGUGGUUUUCUGUUCUACCGUCGUCUUUUCUCGUCGUCUAUAUUAAGGUAAGAUGGCGGUAGAUUUAUAAUUACCGACGUAGAUUAUUUUGUUAAACGUCGUUAAGUGUAAUACAACCGACGUGGAUUUUAUUUUUAAAUUAUAAAUAGAGUUUUUUUUCCCGAAUUCUUUCAGUUUUAGUUUUCAAUUACAAAGCGUGAUAAAUAGAUUUUUCUUUCCCAAGAAAAUUUAAAAUGAGGGAAAUUGAUGUUCUAGAAUUUACACGACGCAAUAUUACUAACCCGAGGAAAUUAUAAAUAGAUUUUGCUUUCCCGAAGAAAUUUUAAAUUAAUUCAGUUUGAAACAACGACCGUUUUUUGUUAUGCCGUCGUUUUUAACUAACACGACGCAAUAUUUGUUUUGCGACGUGGAAUCUUUUCAUUUAACGUCGUUAGGUUUAAUAUAACCGACGUGGAUUUGAAUUUUUAAAUUAUGAAUAGAAUUUUUUUUCCCGUGACCUUUCAGUUUAUUUUUCAAUUACAGUACGUUAUAAAUAGAGUUUUUUUUCCGGAGGAAAUUUAAAAUGAAGGAAAUUAAUGUUCUGGAAUAUGUAAAGUUUCUUUUUUGGAUGACAGAUUUAAAUAAAAUAAGAAUAUAAAAACAACGACUGUUUUUGUAUUACUGUCGUCGUUUUUCGUCGUCUUAAGUAAGACUAAGACGAUGUAAUAUAUUUGUUGAGCGACGUUGAUUUGUUUUUUAAACAUCGUUAGGUAUAAUAUAACCGUCGUUGAAAAUUGUCUCUCUGAUUGUAAAUUUGCAACGACGUUAGGUAUAAUAUUUGUAGAUACACAAACGCACACACAUCAUCAACUUCCAAAAAAUUGUCUCUCUGAUUGCAAAUCUGUGUCAUCUGUUAAGAUUAUGAUGUGGAACAGAGUUCCAUCUGGUAAGAUUUCGUAACCCUUGGGAUCUCAGAAAAAUCUGAUUAUGUCGGCGGUUUUCUAUAUAAACCGUCGUGGUUAUUUCAAUUCUUGUCAUUAAGUAGAUCUACCGACGUAGGAUAAGAAAAUCAAAGAAAAAAAUUGUUAACAAAAAUUCUUAUUAAGACGACGGUUUAAAUUAAAGGUACGACGUAUAAAAUAAAUAAAUACGACGUUAAAUUUUAUAGUACGAUUUAAAGAUAACGUCGUAGAACUAUACGAGAAUGACGUCGAUAUAUUUAUAUUUUCCGUCGUUGUACAUUAAUUUAAUACGGCGAUAUUUUGUAUUUUAAAGCCGUGGAUUUGUUUGUAAUUAUACGGCGUCUUAUACGAAAACCUCGUCGUGUUAUUUUAUGAGUAAAAACGGCGGCUUUUAUUGAAAUCGUCGUCUUUACUUUCUACGUCGGUCGAUUCAUAACUUCUGUCGUUCUUUGUUGGCUUUAAUUUUACACUGCGGAAAUCUGUUUCAAAUAGACGUCGGUUGUUUAAUUAGGUACGUCGUUGUUUUUGAACAGCCAUUUGAAUCUCCAUUUUUUAGUUGUCUAAGGUGGUAUUACACGACGGUGUUUUUAGAACCGUCGUCUUUUUAAAAACCACGACGGUUUUCACUUAGACCGUCGUUGUUUUCUAGUCAUCUUUUUCACUUUUUGUAGUAGUGCCUAGCCUCUAUAUAUAUUCCUUUAUAAAAUCAAUUGAAAAUACACACUUUGACAAUCCCUCUGUAGUCUUCUCAUGCUUCUCGUCUAUGCGACUCCAGCCCCCGCCCAAAACUCUGAUGUUCGUUUACUUAUUCUUUUUGUUUUUGUCUAACUUAUAUAGGCUUCUAUAUUGCUAGUUCCAUCAUGAAAACAAAACAAAAGAAAACCUUUUUGCUAUUAGGAAUCUUCUGGCCAACAAGAGUACGUGGAAACAAUAACAUAUAGAUUUCUCUUGAUUUCUCCCACACCCUAUUUAUCAUACAUUGAUCCCAUGCUAUAUAUAUAACUAUAAGAUUUGUUAUCUCACUUGAAGUGAUACUCCUUUUGUUGCCUCACCUUUACUUCAUUCAAUAAUUUUCAAACGCCAAUGGAAAGGGUUUUUUUUUUUUUUUGGGUUUUCUAAAUGUAUUGUUAAUCAUAUUCAGGAGCUUCUUUUUGCUUGGAAAUACAUUUCGUUUUGUCAUGGGAAGUACAAUUGAUUGCUAUGCCAUUAAGGCGACUAUAUAUAUGAUCUUUUAUUUUUAUGAUAUUUACUAACCUCUUGAAACGUGUACUUGAGUGAUAGUACUUACAGGGCUGAUCUUGACUGCAAAAUUUAAAUUGGGGUCCUCACAUGGUCUCACACGAAACAAAAUAAAAAAAAUAUAACCAUGACUUAAUGCCAUAAAACAAAAAUUGGUUAAAAUAAAAUUCAUCACCAAUUAUUGUAAAAGUAAUGAGCACAAUUUUUUUUUUCAAGAAAACAUGCCUUGUGAUAUGGUGUGGUAAUCUUGUGUAGUUGGUCAUCGGUUUGUUCAUUAAGGUCAUUUUAUGAAGGAAAAAAAAAUGUAUUUCGAAAAAAGAAGUAAAAAAGGAACCAAUGGAGCACACAAGUGACUCAAACCUAAACUUAUAAUGAAAUUCAAAGUGCAAGAACCAACUUCACUAGAGCCACAAUUGUUUAAAUAUGUUGUAUGCUGACGUGCGUGUAUAUAUAUAUAUAUAUAUAUAUAUUUCAUUUAAGAAUUUUUUAAAUAAGUUUAUUUGAGGAACAUCUUUAUAGGGCCUACUCUGUGACAGGACCCGACCCAAAUUCCGCUUUGGAAUCCGAGCCGGAUCCUGUGCGUGUCCGACACCUGGGGGACUCUGCAUUGUAUUUCACUAAUUCAAACCGUCUAUUUUGUAAAUAUUCAUUCAAAGAUCAUCUCUACAAAAAAAAAAUCAUUUGAAUUCAAUAUCAUUUGACCAUUUAAUUAAAAUAUUGAAAUUUAAGUACUUUCUUGAAGCCACCGUGUUCAUUGAUUUGUUGGUCUCAAUUAAAUGCCUUAAUGAUUUUCAAUUUGUCUGAUUUUUUUGCAAGGAUGAUCUAUGAAUGAAGACUUUAAAAAUAGACAGUUUGGAUUGAAAACAAAAUUCAUAGGGUACGCUAAAGGAUGUCCCUCAAAUAAAAUUAUUUGAGGGAUCCCUCAAUGAAAGGAGACUGUGUAUAUAUAUAUGUGAAAAAAAUUUGGGGGCCCUCCAAAACUAAGGAUCAUGUGCAAUGACACUACUUGCACUAUGUUAGGACCGCCCCCAACAAUUUACAUUAUUUUGAUGAAAGUUUCUUUAUUUUUUUUGUUCAAACAAGUUUCUUUAUUUAUGUAUUUAUUUUUUUAAAGUGAUUUAACUCAAAAACAAAAUUAAAAUAAUGGAAUAUUCACUAUUAUACCCAAUAUAAGAGCCCAAAUUAUUAUAAAAUAAAAUAAAUUUUAAAAAACUUAUAUGAAAUGGACUUUAGAAACACACUCAAAGCCUAUUUAUAACAUAACAAAAAGGCUUUUAACUUCUUUUAAAUUACAAAACUGCCAUUGAUUUCUUAAAACAAACUCAAUCCCAAAACCUUAUAUAAAAAAAACCCAAAACACUCAAUAUCUAUAUUAGUAGACCUAUAUUUGGGUUUUUUUUUUUUUGGGUUUGUUUAUAGAAAUUAAAUUAUAUAGAGUUUAUCUAUAUUAUUAGUGCUAAGAAUAAAUAUAUGACUAAUAUCUCUUAAAACAAGUUAAAUCCUAACCCACUUUCACACCUGCAUUCAUCAUUUGCACUAACCUAAAAAGACUAACCCGAAGGGCUUUGGGGGAAGUUUAUUCGAAUUCUCUGACCCCAAAGAAAAAGCAAAGUACUAGUAACUUACCCAAAAAUACAGUCACUUACCCAAAAAUAAUCCUAUACGCAUAAAUUCGCAUUGGCUAAGUAACAAAAUACAGUAACUUACCCAAAAAUAAUCCACCUAUCUAGUAAUAUUUUAUGUUGAGAUCAUUAAUAGGCAAAUUUAAUACAAAAACGUUACGUCGUCUUAAAAAAGUAAAUAAAAAAAUGAAAACCUUCCAAUACACAUAAUACUAUCUUACCCCAACAUAAUUACCGUAUUAAUUUUUAGUUUGCAUGCUUCGACACAAAGUAAAUUGCCCAUGACUUUCCUUUUUAAGUCCAUUCUUAACUUUUCCUCUUGUUGACCACUCUCGCACACUAUAUAUAGGCCGACCCUCUCAAGGGGGCUCUUCAAAUUUUUUUCAUGUGUAUAUAUUGAAUAUAGCGAGCGGUGUUGCACGGCCUUGACUCACAAAAGAAAAUUCCUCCUGAGUCAAAAGUUAAACACAAGGUACGAUCGCUUUUAUUUAUUUUUGUAUAAUUUAAACUACGAGAAAGAAGAUUCAAAUUUAGGGCAGAGUGGAGAGCAUAUCUUGCUCUAGUCAGCUUGACUAAAUCCAUAUCUAUGAUACAACCACUUAAUUAAUUUUGAUUACAACUUGACUAUGCCUUAUGCUAUAUACAUCUACUUAUAAUGUUUCUUUCUGUUAAGUAUAUCUAAAGGUAAAGUACAAAUUUUAUGGAUGGAUAAUUCUUUUUUUUUUCUUUUCUAAUAGUAUAUUUCAUGUCAGAUGUUGAAGCUAGGAAAUUACCAACAAGGCAUAAUGGAGGGUCAUCCUCCUGUUGGCAGUAAGAACAAGGGCAAGGAAAUCAAGAUCGAGAGGGUCAUAGAGAAGCAGCAGCAAACUAGAAGAAAAAUCAAGGUCAGCAGGAGGAGGAAGCAGUACAAAAUUAAGAUGGCCAAUGAUGAUGAGGCGGGCCCAUCUAGUCGUUAUAAUCCAACAUUAGGGUUUAAGCAACUUUUGCCAGAUCACCAAGAAAUUGAUGAGGUUGUUAUUGGAAAAGAAGUUUAUGAACUUUAUUCUCAUCUCCUAGGUCCAUGCAUGGAUGACAAGUCAUCACUUACCAGUUCUUCGGAAGAUUAUCUCAGAUUGAAGACUCCAUGAAUAGGUUUAAGCUUUAUUUUAAAUGUGUUAGGUCAAAUUAUGGUAUUAUAUUUUAGCCCCAAGCAUGUAAACGGUUUCUCAUCAUCAUAUGUACUGGUUUUUUCUUUUAUGAAACCUCAUCAACACUUUGUUCCAAUAACUAUUUCUUUCUUUAUUUGAGCAUAACUUGAUUGACUCAAUUUUUGUUUUUAUUUCUAUGGUGUAAUUAUAAAUUUUUUUUGCCAAUUUUGAAAGAAGUUUCAAGUUUGAAUGACCCCAAUGAUAAAUAAAAGACUUUUUCUUUCAAGCUAGAUUAUACGUAAAUCAAACUUUUGGCUUUUUUUACCAUCUGCUAAUUGCUUUGUUAAAUGCAUCUGCCAAACGAUAGAUAUCAUCAGUGGCGGACAUGUGUAGGCGCAAGGAGGUGCACCUGCACUUCCGGUCACCGGAAAACUCCAUAGAAGCUGCUAAAGUUGCACCUCUACUCAUGCACGGAAGCGGGGCUGCUGUGCUGCGCGCAGUGCGACCUCUCUUUUUUUUUUUAAACUGCCUGGCCAAAACGACGUCGUUUUGGACCAGGCACUGCUUUUUAAAAAAAUAAAAAAUAAAAUAAAAAAAAUCUGGCCAUUCGUGGAUAAGGGUUUUUUUUUUUUUUAAACCUGGCCAUUCGUGGGCCAUUAUGGAUAAGCCAAUUUGAAUUAGGAUUUUAAAAAUUAAAAAAAAAAGAUAUAAAAAAAGGGGGAAACUACUGGGUCAUUCAUGGGCUUCUAAAGGGCUUAUAUAAUUCCUACAUAAUUGGGUUUUAAUUGGAACUUCUCUUUAUUCAAUUGGGUUUUGGGAAUUCCUUAUUUAAGUGGGAUUGAGAAUUCUCUUUAUGAAAAACCAAUUUAACAUCACCCAAAGUGUGUGUGCAUCACAAGAGUCUUGCGUUUUUUUUUUCUUCUUGAGUACGCCAAUACAAAGUAAAUUGGAUGCAUAUAUAUUUUUUCUUGAGCAAAUGCCAAUUUUGUUUUUUUUCUUUUUUUAAUAAAUACUUUUUUCUUAUUUAGCUCUCUCUGUAUUAGUAAGAUCAAUAGCAAACUCGAGGGGGAAUAGACUAUGUGACACGCUAUUUGAGGUAUUAGCUUUUCUUUUUUUCUUUUUUUUUUUGAGAUUUUAGUUUUUAAGAAUUGCACCUCCAUUGAAAAAUUUCUGGGUCCGCCGCUGGAUAUCAUAGAUAUCAUUGGAAACUCCACAUCCCUCUUAAGAUCAAGACCUUUCUCUAUUUCCCUCUUGUUUGUUUUCUCUCUUCUUCUUCGUCCUCUUUCUUUCCCUUUUCUAUUCUCUUUGUUUUGAAAGGGGUGGGUGGGUUUGGGAUAUUUGUUUUGGUUUAAAAAUAUUAUCUUUAAGAAUAUUAAAAAUCAGCUUCUUUAAAAAAUAUAAGUUUUUUUUUUUUGUUUUAAAUCUUUGAAUUGGGUUUCUUUGCAACAUUUAUUUAUUUUUAAGACAAAAUUCCUAAUUAAAUUUAAAUAUUACAACAAUUAUUUUGUAGUCCGACACAGCACCAAACGUAAGUCUUCACUAUUUUUACAAUCCAGCUUCUUAGUCCGACGUAUUACCAAACGUAGGUCAGUACUUAAUCCAGCUUGGGCCAAUCCGAACUAAUCCAAGACAGUCCCAGAAUUUAGUCCAAUCUAUGACAGUCUGCUGUAUCAAAUGACCCUUAAGUUCAUUAUUUAGUAUUAGCUUGUGGUAUAAGUGAAGUGAUCGAAAGAUGAACAUCAUUAUUUAGAUAGGGAAAUGGGUUUUGGGUAAGUUAACAUUCUCUAUUAUUAGAAUGUGAAUAAACUUUGCCUUGUUUUUUAUUUUUCGGAAAUUGUUUUUGGGUAAGUUAAUAUUGUCCAACACUGGAAGAGUAAUGGGAAUAAAUUUGCCUUUUUCUUUAUCCAUGGACAGUUGUUUUUGGGUAAGUUAAUUUUGUCUAUUAUCUUUUCUUUUCUUUUUUUUUUAAGGGCCUUUCUUAUUGAGAGAGGCUAUAGUAUACUAAACUCAUACACACUACACGAGUGCUAGGACUCGAAUCCAGGAAUUUUGUCUAUUACUUAAAGAGCAUAGCUUGACUCCUUAAAAUUGAGGAGGUGCUCCUCCUUAAAUUCAAUGGAGUUUGACACUUGUCAGCUUCAAGUAACAUUGACAAAGUUUCAACCAAAAAAAAUUUAACAAGUGUCAAAACCACAUUGGUUUAAGGAGGAGCUCCUCCUCAAUUUUAAGGAGCCAAGUUUUUCCUUACUUAAAUGUGAAUAAUGUGGAUAAACUUUGCCUUUUUUUCUAAAAAGUUUGGGGUAAGUUCAAAUCUUUACUUUAUAAUAUUUUGCCCAGUACAUUCGUAUACUACUUUGCCUUUCCGAGAGAGGGGGUGCGGUACGGGGGUUGGAGUAGAACUUUGCCGUGGCACAUUGUUGAUGUUUUGCUAUCUUCAUCCAAUCACGUUUCACUAUGUGAAAUUAUUAUCAUGCAUGGCAGAACGUGAUUAAUUGGAGAUAGCAAAACAGUGUUAUCCCAUGCAAUGACGGACGUACGUUGGGACAAGAAGGGUCGCACGACCCCUUGGGAUGUUCGAAAUCUAAUCGUGGACUCCACUGACGACCCCUUGGCCAGCAUCUGAGCGACCCCUAGUGUGCAAAUAAGGUGCUCAAUGAAAGUCCCUUAUGGGCAAGGACAGAUCCAAGAAUUCUAUCAGGGGUGGGCUAAUAUUUUCCUUGGCUUUUGGGACUCCAAGUAAAAAAUAAUAAUAUAAUAACAUUUAAAAUAUUUCAAAACCAGAAAGUAACAAAUAAAAUAAUAAAAUAACAUCUUUAAAAAAUAAUCUAAAACAAACCCUUUCUCCUUCUCCCAUAAAUACUAUGCAGCUAGAAGAAGCAUGCAAAUGCAAUUCAACAGAAGCAAUCCAAACUACAGGGGGACCAAACCAGCCACUAUUUAACCUCAAGCCUUAGAGUUUCAACUUCAAAAUCACCUUAAUUAGUUGAUACUUGUAAAAAUAUUUAAAAUAGAGCCAAAUAAGAAGAGGGGUUUACAGUUUAUUUUGGCAAAAAAGGAAAGGAGGUUUACGGCUAUUAGGGAACAUAUAGAGCAUGAAGAAAUUAUUAAAUUUUCAUGUUGGCAGACAUUCAAUAUUUCCCAUAUUUGUUUUGAUAUUAAUUUACUAUUACUACCAUGUUAUUUGUUCCAAAAGCAGUCAUAAAUGUGUUUUUUUAGUCAAAAGAGGUGAGCUAAUAUUAAACAAAAACAAUCACAGCUAAUAUUAAACAAAAAACAAUCACAGGCCAGGAGACAGAGAUUGUGGGCUAAUAUUUUUUGGAGUAGGAUUUGCUCAUAAAAUUUGCACUAAAUUUAGUAUUUUUAAAAUUUAACACUGUGCUAGAGCCCAGCCUAGCCUGUAUAUGGAUCUGUCCUUGCUUGUGGGUUUGUCUUGCGCUGCUCAGUGCUCUCUAACCUUCUUCCAGACGCAUUCUCGCUGCAGCACCACGACUUGAAUUUUUUUUGGGUUGCAGAGGCAGCGAAGAAGAUGAUUUUGGUGAUGUUGCCCUAGUUUAUGCCCAUUUUAGUUGAAACUCACCAUUUCACUAACUUGUAUAUUUUCUUAAAAAGUCUGACCCAAAUAUAUAUUAAUAAAACCCUUUUUAUCUUUUACCCCAGUGAUAUAUUUAACUAAUAUGUUAGUACAACACUAAUUUAUAAAAAUUAAUAAAUAUAUUAUUUUCAUUGCCAUAUAGGUGUUGUAUUCGUCUCUUAAUUUUUGAAGAUUUGAAUGAAAGUACUAUCUUUUUGCUUUUUGGUGUUUUUUUUUAUUUUUGUAAAACCCCUUAGCCUGAGAAUCCUAAAUCCUGCACGAAUACCAUGCAAAUUUUUCUCCCGAUAAUGUGAAGAAAAGCAAAGUAGGGCAUCUCAGAGAAAAGCAAUUUAAAUUGUACUUUUCUAUUCAUUGUUUGCAUUUAUAAAUACUACUUUUCUCCACUGUGGCAUGUUUUAGUUAGGCAUUUUAAUCUUCUUAAUAAAAAUUAGUUUUGUUUAGUUAUUUGUUCCUUUAUCAUUAGUUUAUGAUCUCGAAAUUUCAAGGUCGGCCCUUUGAGUUGGGUGCUCAUUGAAGAAUUUGAAAUUAAUUCGUCCAACACAAACCCUAAUUAAGGCAGAAUCACUUUUUUACCUCUAAAAUUAUUGGGGUUGUCGUCUUUUUUGUUGAUCUCUGAAUUGAAAUAAUGUUGCAUGUAGGAAUAUUUCGUAAAAACUAGAGCGGCUAUAUUCUCAUCCUCCAUACGACAUGUAUAAAAGUUCUUCACAGCAUUAAAAUGAGUAUAUAGGAUGGCAUUAGAUGUAAAUUACAUUCCACUUGUUUCAUUUACUAAAGAAUACCACGUAUGUAGAGGGCGGAAAAGAUUCACAUUUCUCUCCAAAAUUUGUUUAAAGUAAUGACCCAACAGAUUUCUGGUCCUGCAAGAUAGGGAAGCCUCACAACUGCAACAAAUAAAAACAUUCGCCACCUGAAAAAAAAAAACGAUUAAUAUUUGACAAUGGCUAAAAAAACAAAAUAAGCGGUACGACCCUAUCAGUAUAUAUUUCUUAUCUAAUGCUUAAAAACUUGUGUCAUAAUUUGAGUAAAAAAGAUGGUACCACCCGCUAUACCUCUGCAACAUGAUGAACAAGCUGAAGAAGAAUUUGAACUUUUAGAUUGACUUCUGUGUGAGUAUUACACGUAUAUUCCCAACCCUAACUCUUUUGGAUUUGUUUCCACCAUCCAUGAUGGCCUGUUUGCGGACCAAUAAAAUAUUAAGAAAGAAAUGGAAUAGUCAAUACAAACAAUAAUAUUAUGUCUCUAUAAGAAAGAGAAUAAGGGACCAGAAAUUUUACUUGUUCAUUACAAAAUUGAAUGUUCCUUGUGCAGCACGUUUGAGAAGGAGUUCUCUUGCCUCGAUUGCAAUGCCUUCAGUCUAUACACAGAGAAUUUGAUAAGAGGCUUAUUGCAUCAAUGGGCAGCUUUUAGGGUUCUAAACUACGUACUCAGUCCUUGUACAUACCUCCUCUGGAAACCAAACCCCAGGCUUUGUGCUUCCCUCAAGAAUUGCCAAAACAAAUGCAGCUGUUGCAUUUCCAACUGAUCUGCAACACAAAUUCUAUUUCAGUCACAACUCAUUCAAAUCCUCCAGUACGUACUUUCAUAUACAUAUGUCCGCACCACAAAUAUCACAUUUGAUAUCAACCUUGUAACAUUCUACAGACAUUAAAAAGAAAAGGGAAUCGGGGUGUCCGUGAUUGAUUUUGGAAGGAAAAAUAAACAAAUAGACCUCUGGAUAACUUAAAACUUACACGGAGAGUCUCUUGUGACUGAAUAUGCCAACUGUAUUGCGCCCGUCAGAGCACUCCAAAUCAACCUGCCACCCCACCAAAAAGAAAAAGAAUGAAGUGAAGUGAAUUGCGAUGACAAAGAUGGUGUGAAUUAUUAUUCUUUCCCUUGUGUACUAGUAAAAAAGUUGAAGAAGAAGUUGAAAUAACUGAAGACUUGUUUAUAUCCUCACCCUCAUUGAUACACGCUCUCCAGCAAUACUAUCAACUCGUCGGACUACGGGGUCAAACAGGUCAACCAUCUGUUGGACUUUGCUUCUGUCUCUCAACAGCUCCUGAAAAGUUUAUUCUAAAUUACUUAGGCUUAUCAUACGAGCUAACAGUUAGUUAUUCAAAAUUAAUGUGGGGUCAUUUUGGUGAGAAUUUGUUUCUUAAUCCUCACUAAUCCCUUUGAAAUGCAGAAUAUUGGCAAUAGUCAAUCAAAUCUCAUCUCAUUUCUUAUAAUAAGGGUGAAAAUCUAAAUGCUAAGCCUAGAAUUACAAAUCUAGAUUAUCAGAGGGGAUGCAUGAAAUCCAAAAUGUCAUAGCGUACUGCUGGAAGAAGACUAGUCAUGGCUGCCAUUCCCCAAUUCCAAAAGAAGGGUGAAGUUCCAAAUCGAGCACUGACAGUAGGUACUCCUAGGACCUCAUGAGUACUUCUUACCUCUGGCAAAUUCCUGAAAAUAAGAUUAGGUUUAGUACAACCCUUGUAUUAUUGGAACCAAAGCAGUUUCAUACUUUAUUAACUGAGCGGAUAGACAGAAACCAACUGGUUCAUCUAAACGGAAUUCAUUAAGCUUCAAAAGAAGGAAAAUAAGUCCCGAUCGGACUUUUGGGAGUUGAUUAAAGGAUGCAAAAGCAUCUCAAGGACAAACUACUAUGCAAUCUAAGAGUUAUUCUGCAAUCUAUCAAGUACUGCAUGGCCAGUAACCCCUCGUGGACAUAAUUGACAAACUCAACCUAACUAUGAGAGAACUUCUUGAGAAGAUUGACCCAUGAGACCAUUAUGGUACAUAAAACUUAUAUUUGUCUCCCCUUCUUGCAAGGACCAGAAAAUAAAAUUGAAACAAAACUUCGGAUGAAACUUCUUCAAUCGUGUUAAUUAUCUUUAGUGCAAUAACAGUAUAGGGUUGUCAAACAUGGUGACUGAAAUAUUACAAUGUCAACAAGAAAGAACAUAACUAGAAAACAAAUUAGAAAUGAUACCAAAAUAUUUGAUUGACAAGUUUCUAAUGGGGUUUCCUUGCCCUUUCAGAAAAAGUGGAUGGGGGGAAUUGCAUGAGACUUGUUGGGAACUUGGCAUCAUCUACAUAAUGACCCAAUUGGUGAAAGCCAUAAUGGUAUUACAGGUUUGAUUUGUAUAUAAUUUAUUGAUCAUAUGACUUGGUGACUUCAAACUCAUGCAUAAAAUUGUAGAUUACAGAACUUACAACAGAUAAACAUCUUUCUUUCCAAUUCCUUUUCCAAAGUCAAUCGUCAGCAUUCCACUAUAUGGCUUUAGUUUGAUCUUUUCUCCUGGUUGAGUAGCCCAUUAUUGGUGUUAGGCAUGAUAUACGGAAUUCAGGAGUCAUCAAACACAAUAGAAAAGGUGAAGAAGAUAUUGUACCUUUAUUAAAUGCAACAACCUCCUCUCCGAGAAGCAAAAAACUAGUGGCUAAGAUAGUUGGACCAGCCCCGCCAGUUCCCGCUGUGUAGUAGUAGAAUCUGAUGAGAAGAUAUUUGCACAUAUUUGUUAGGCAUAGAAUUCAUGAUGACCCCAUAGAGAAAAAGCACAAAAAUUCCAUGUUAUAUGUGACUAUGCAUAAGAUUAAAUAUGUUAUCUCAAUCAAGAAGCAUUUCGAAAUAUCCCAAACAUCCAAUUUCAAGUUUGCACAAAUUUGAAUAACAAUAAAAAGACAUGGAAUGCGACUGGGGAAGACAUUGACCACAGAGCGUGAGAAGUGUGGCCAAAAAACGGUUUAUUUCGAAUUAAUAUGAAAGAUAUUUUUAGUAGAAGACACCGUUCAAUGACAAAGAAUCUCAACCAGAAGAAAAGUCCAAUUUGAUGCCAACUGAUUGGAGAUAUACUGUAAAUGUAAGUUUAAAACAAUAAAAAUUAAACAAUUCUUGGACUUAAAAUAGGUAAUGGGAAUUGCUACCUUAGCCUUUCUGGUUUGCCUUUGCUUUCACUUCUUGCCGCACGAACUAGUUCUGCAGCCCAUCACUGUCAUUAUAACAGUAGGAGUCAGUAUCUAGGAGACAAAGGAAUAGUAGAUAUGACCCCUUUUCACUUUCACACAAGAAUACUAUCUGACGACACCUCUAAUUUAUGAGUACUCCUAUGAUCUUCCAUUGGUGUGUUUACAAAAAAUUUGGUAUGUUAAAUGUGGAAUAAAACCUUAGGCAUCAUGUAUUCUUGUCCUCGAGAUAAUCCAAACCUCACAUAGACAAACCCAAAAGUUAGGUUAUUACAUUAGGAGGUUUAGUUGUUAAAUUAUACAUGUAAGGUGCAACUCAUCUGAAUUCAAAAAACCCGCUACUUGGAGCAUCUCAGCCCAGGCUUUUUAGGUCUAUCUAGAUCCAGAGAGUAAUAAAUCUCAGCUACGGACCCAAAUAAAAAGGAGCUUGGUACUUGAGAUUGUUAUUCACUUGCAUUUUACUUCAAAGAAAUAUAUCUUUGAAAUAUUAUCUGGGACAAACAACUCCUUUUGUUUCAUUUUAAACACAGUUCAAAUAUAUGCACAAGCAAGUGUACCAAACUUUGUGGACUACAGAACAAAAUGUGCUGAUGAUACACCAUUGCUCACUCCGGGAUAAAUUCCACCAGUUGUUAUUGCUGGAACAUUUGCAGCUAGCGCUCUACUGUUGAAAGAUUUUGCACGCAGUGAGUAGGCUGUAUCAUCACAAACAUCAACAUAGGCUGUCUGUGGAGAGAAGAAACACAUUACCAAAGUCAUACAUUUUAUAGUAAAGUUGAGAUAUAUUUUCCAACAUAAACAUGCACGCACACAAACAAAACAAACAUAUGUCACUUAUAAUUAAAAACACACACUAUUUUUCUUUUCUUGUGGGGGAGGGGGACAAUCUGUGGCCAUAGUAACAUUCCUCACCUUUGUCUGUAAGGCAGCUUCCAAUACAGUACACUUCUCUGCUUGUUGGAACGGCCCUGCAGCAUGAACUACGAGAUCCACAUCUGCAGAGAGAAGUCGCUUAAAAACAAAUUUGAUAAUCAGUGUUAUGAAACUAAGACCACAAAAUACUACAUGGACCUAAAUUAUGAUCUCUAUUAUAUGCAGUGUUCUCAAAAAUGUGAUAUUGUAACAGAAAUAUAUGAAAUCCCAGACACAAGGGCAUAGCUGUUCAGUAAAUAUUGGUUAAGUGAAAAGCAUAGAAUAGAAUAUGGAAAACUCUAGAGAUAAAUGAUGUUUCUCUUUGUCCCAACAUUUCUUUUUCUUUUGGUCGCUUGUCCCAACAUUCAUGCUUAAUGCUUUCAUAGUUCUCAAACCAAAAAGCAGAACAACAUAACAAAAAAAGUUACAUAGGUCAAGCAUAAAUAGGUAAGAAAUUACAUAUUUUGCCCCUUUAUUCUUUUUUCUUUAACCUAGGUGCAGAGAUAGGUGCUUGUGAUACAUGGACUACAGAAGACUACCCAAAUUUUGCAAACGAAGUUGGAUUCAGUUAUUCUUAAAUUAUAAAGAGCCAAAUUUCAUUGGUACCUUGGUUCAUACCAGGAGUAAAAAGAAGACAAUAAAAUUCUAAAGAAAUACUUAGAGUUACUCAAAAUGAGAAUUUAUACACCUUUCUUAUGGUUAAUAUUCCCUAAAUAAUGGGUAAAGAAUCAGCCAAGUACAAUACUAAUACUUAUGUGGUGAAACCAUUCAAACCCCAGUAUGGGAAGCCAACUGAAAUUAAAUCAUGGUACCAUGGAAAAAAAAAACUUAGAAGAAUCAUUCACCUUUCAGAGCUGCUUCCAAUGAUUUUACAUUGUCAAUAUUUACUUCAGAGAACUCUGAGUUUCCCCCAAGUGUAGCCACCAUAUUAGCUCCUUUUUCCCUGCGAUGGAAUCAUAAUUCCAGAAAUGUAGCAUCUCAAAUUGCCAGCAUUCGUAAUCAGAUAUGACCAACGAGAUGUGAAAAAGUAACACAUUUUCAAGAGCGUAUUUUACCAGAAGAUUAAUAUUGUUUUAACUUUAUGUCAUCUAGCAAUUGAUAACUGAUAUUUACUUCUUGUGGACCACUAGAAUUAGACAUGCUCGGGUUCUUGACAAUUGACUAAAAGUUGUUAGUCCAAUCUGGUCUAGAUGAGGCAAUGUGGGACAGGCAAAGAAGCCCUAUUAUUCUUUGAGCAAUUAUUAACGUUGCGCAGUGGAUUUUAGCGAGGUGCGAUGGAUGGCAGAUAAAAAUGGCCAUUCUCAGAGAUCUUUCUUGAAAUAUAAGCAAGUUGUAGAUACUUCCCUUAUCAAGUUAUCUAAUCUUUACAAACAAUAUCAAUCCAAGAUGAACUUCUUCCAAGGUGCUCUUAUUAUUAUCCUUGUCCUCUAUAUGCCAUUGUAUUUCUAGUUUUAUUUCUAGUUAUAUCAAAAACCAUAAAUUGUUACAACUAAAUAACUGAAUCCUACCAUCAUUGCCAUUACAUUGAUUUCAACAAUUCAAAAAUUCACCUAUUUUUACCAGCCAAUAGAUAACAUCUUCUCAGGGAGACAAAAAUACCAAGAACUUACAGGGCCAGUACCAUUACCUCAAAUUUAUAAAGAAAAAUACCUCAUACCCAACUGAAUAAGUCAUAAAACUAUACACACACACACACACACACACAUAUAUAUAUAUAUAUAUUGGGUCUUUGUUGUGGUGCAACUUAGAAAAUUCUAAAGCUAAUAUUUGUUUGCUUUAUGAGAAAAUGAGGGAAAAGAUGCUACAAGUUCCCAUCAACACGUUUUAUUACAAAUUUCUAUCCGGGAUUGGAAAAAAAUUCAAGUAGUUCUGCUAAAGAUGUUAAUUUUAAACCAUUACGUUUUGUCAAACAAUAAUCAUUUUAUUUCCUCCUCCAUGUUUUCUCGAAAACCAAACAAAUAUGAGACUGUAAUGAGAGAGAAAUGGGUUCUUUAUUGGGCAUAAUGGUAAAUUUGAUUACCUGUUUCGACCGCCAACGAGAAUUUGGAGGUCGGGGCAGAGCUUGGAGAGGGCAAUGGCAGUGGAACCUCCGACCCGACCCGUUCCGCCCAGAACCAGCACCCGCGAGUUUCGGGUCUUCUCAGGGAGCUGAACCCUGUUCCCAAUUUGGGCCUCUGCAGAACUACUACUAGGAGAAGAAGUGACCGCAGCAGUGGCAUUACAAAGGCUCACUCUGCUCUUCAAAUGCAUAUACACUGAAGAAGCUCCCGCCAUUAUUCUCUCUCUACUCUAUCACAACUCCCAAAACCCCCUUCACUCUGGCCUAUCCUAUCAGUUUUUAUCGUUGGCGAUGACGUGGCACUUUGUGUACCUAAUAAUCUUAAUUUGGUUUUUUCAUUGAUAUUUAAGUAGGUCUCUCCAUUUUAUUUCAUUGGAUUAGGUCUUCGGUUUGGUUCGACUCAUGUGAAUGGGAAUUCGAUGUUUUUUUUUUUGCACUAUUGUAGCGGUGUGAUUUUGUUGUAUGUGGAUUAUUUGUUAUAAAUCAUGGGUGGUAGAUAUGAGUUUUUAUUAUAAAUAACUAAAAUUUAUCCUCUGAAUCUAUAAGAGCACCUCCAGCGCUUGGGUUUAACUUGAGCAAAAGGCAGCCCCAGGCCCUAAAACCCCCUCCAUUGCGCAAGGUCUAGCUCGAGUAAGGGUUUGGUCCCACGAGCCCAGGCAAGUCCAAGUGCAAAUUCAGCCCGAGCUGUUGCCUGGGUAAAAUGACACAAUGCCGACGUUAUAAUGACAUUAGCAACCAAAAAACAUUGGAAAAAAAAAAACCAAAAAUUUCAGAUUUUUUUUAUAAAUACAUAGCCAUAUUCUUUACUUCACACACCAAAAACUCUAUACAAAUUCAUCUCCUCAUAUCUCAUGUGAAUAGUAAUUGCCCUUGCCUUUUGGGGUGGAAACAAAAAAGGCAAGGGUUGCCACUAUUCAUGUGAAUAGUGACAAACAUUGCCUUGCCCCUGCCCUUUGGAGUGGAAAUGCUCUAAAUGUCAGUUUUUAUAAAAACUUUCAAAUAUAGCAAAACUCUCACUUAAAUAGACUAAAAUGCCCUCAAAAUUAAAAUUCUCAUAAACCUAAAAGUCAAAACUCUUUCUUUUAAUUACCAAAAAAAUAAAAUUAAAAACUCUUUCUUCUUCGCAUUGGUUCAAAGAGGAGGGGAAUGUAGUUGAUUUUUUUUUUUCUCACCAGUAAAAAUUGAUUAUCUUUACAAACUUUUUGUUGGUCCGACUUCUCUUUACUAAUAAGAAUAUAUAAGUUGGGCAAGGAAGAAGCUUAGAAUGAUGAGCGGCGGAGAAGUUGUGCCUAGUGAUUAAUAGUGACUAUUUAACAACAGAACCAGACAAAAUCCGAAGUAUUAUAUUAAUAAGAAAACAAUCGACCAAAUUAAUUAGCUCUAGUGUUCUGUAUAUGAAGGAAAAUUUUGAGUAGCAGAAGUGUGGCAAGCUUAUGUUUUUUUUUUUUUUUUUUCUGCAGACAAAGUGUGGUGGGCUAUAUGAGAAAGUUUAAAGCUUAUGUUUGCUUGCCUAUAUGUUGGUUACUGCAGAAAGAGUCUGCAGCUGUUAGCAAUAUUAUCAUGUAUAUUCCAAUUCCUAGUUCCAAUCAUGUUAAAGAAAUGAAGAAGGAAAAACACAGAAAAGGAAGAACUGGUUUUGAUUUUUAGGUUUUUAUCUGGGUUUUAAAUUUAAGGGCAUUUAAGUUUUUUUUUUUUUAAAUUGCAUUUUUGCUAUUUUUGGAAGUUUUUUAUAAUAAAAAUUGACAUGUAUGAAUUUAAGGGGUAAAUUUUGGCUAUUUAUGAUAAAAACUCGGUAAACAUCUUUAUAUUGCAGAUGUGGGCUAUGCCAACUGGCCAAGACAAUGAACCCGCCCAUUUGUACCAAAGUUUGAAUCCCCCUCUUGUACAAAAGAUUAAUUUAGACUAUCACUUGUAUCAUCAAUUGAAGGGAAAUUGUACUGGGUGCUUACUUAUGUUGGCCUCCUUGUAGUAGCGUGACUUUGUUAUCAAUUGAUGGAAGAUUCUUCAAUAAGUAUUUUAUGUUAAGGAUUGGUUAUAUACUUCUAUGUAGGGCUGGAGCCUGACCCAAACUUUAGAGAAAAUUUCACUACCUCUAUAGCCCAGCCAAUUCUUAUAUAGGCCAGCCCAAUCAUAAAAGCUUGGAAAACUUUUGAUACUUAUAUAGGCCAGCCCAAAUCUUUACCCAAUCAGCUAUAUCCCCAACAAAUUCAAAAAUCUGGAACCAGCUGUGUGAGGCUACCCCGAAUUCUUCUUUUUUCUUUUAUUUUUAUUUUCUUUUUCUUUUUCUUUCUCUUCUUCUUGUACUCUUCUUUUUCUUUCUUUCUUUUCCUUUCUCUUCUCAACCUCCUCCUUGACUUUUGUUCUUCUAAUAAUUUAUUUCGAAGAUUGUUUUAAUGUAUAAUUGGGAAAGUAUGAUGUUCUUGAGAAUAUAGUUGAAGAUGUAGAAGUAAAUUAUACAAGUGUUUAAUAGAUUAAAUACAAUUUAUGAACUUAUCCUAAAGGGUCCUUACCUAUAUGUAAUCAAUCCUAAAUACUUAUGGGAGAAUGUCCUAUUAGUUAAUUAUUCAGUUGUACCUAUU